CCAUGAUUGGGAGCUUUAAACUGUGGCCCGCAAAGAUAAACCGAGAAUUUGGAGGAAAAGAGGUAUCUAUACUGAUUGCCCAUUAUGAACCAGUACUGGAAGCUGCCAAUGUGGAGAUCGAGGAAGUAGACACUGAAUGGAGCAUGUUGAAAUUAGAGAUAUAUGCUAGAUUUCAGAACAUCCGCAAAUUGACCUGGGAUUUUGUGAACUCUGUUUACUUACACAAGUAUCC